UACAGAGGUCCCAAGCGUUGUUCGGAUUCACUGGGCGUAAAGCGUGCGUAGACGGUAGCGUAAGUCAGAUGUGAAAGCCCCGGGCUCAACCUGGGAAUUGCAUUUGAGACUGCUCUGCUCGGGUGCGGAAGAGGGAAGCGGAAUUUCCGGUGUAGCGGUGAAAUGCGUAGAUAUCGGAAGGAACACCAGUGGCGAAAGCGGCUUCCUGGUCCGACACCGACGUUCAGGCACGAAAGCGUGGGGAGCAAACAGG
rnacentral:rRNA from 1 species